CAGCCUCCAGGGUGUGGAGCUUUUUCUGGCCCUUGGAUAGGAGAAGGGAUGGUCCAGCCUGACAGCAUCCCUGGCUACUAGAAAAUCUGAGGAAUUGUUCCAUCAGGGCUCUGGCACUAGGGAGCCAGAGACAAUAAUACGACAUUAUUGUUGACAGUAAGGCCUGUGU
rnacentral:lncRNA from 1 species